rnacentral:other from 1 species
UUCCUCCUGCGCGGUGCGUGUAAGAGUUUUGUUAUUAACCCACAAUUAAUAACAUAAGGAGAUCGGGCUUCCUCUGAUGGUUUGCAGGCCUCCCUAUCCGUCCGUAUACCGGAUGCAAAGGACGUUGGAAGCAGUAAACAGAGGAGAGAUACUCCGCCCUACACAAGUAGGUUAUUAAUUCAACUCAGAUUACGGCUGAUGCGGGAAACCA